rnacentral:rRNA from 1 species
CAAGUCGAGUGCGCGCCUGUAGCAAUACAGGUGGCGCACGGCGCACGGGUGCGUAACACGUGGGUAAUCUGCCCUCUGAUGGGGAAUAACACGCCGAAAGGCGAGCUAAUUCCGCAUAAUAUUCCGAGAACUUUGGUUUUUGGACUGAAAGGCGUAAGUCGUCGGAGGAGGAGCCCGCGCACGAUUAGCUAGUUGGUAGGGUAAUGGCCUACCAAGGCUUUGAUCGUUAGCUGGUCUGAGAGGAUGGCCAGCCACACUGGAACUGAGACACGGUCCAGACUCCUACGGGAGGCAGCAGUGGGGAAUCUUGCACAAUGGGCGAAAGCCUGAUGCAGCGACGCCGCGUGGGGGAUGAAGCUUCUCGGAGUGUAAACCCCUUUCGAUCCGGACGAAACCCCGCAAGGGAUUGACGGUACGGAUAUAAGAAGCCCCGGCUAACUACGUGCCAGCAGCCGCGGUAAUACGUAGGGGGCCAGCGUUGUUCGGAAUUACUGGGUGUAAAGGGUUCGUAGGCGGUGCGGCAAGUUGGGAGUGAAAUCUCUGGGCUUAACCCAGAGACGGCUUCCAAAACUGCUGUGCUUGAGUGUGGGAGAGGCUCGUGGAAUUGCAGGUGUAGCGGUGAAAUGCGUAGAUAUCUGCAGGAACACCCGUGGCGAAAGCGGCGAGCUGGACCACUACUGACGCUGAAGAACGAAAGCUAGGGGAGCAAACAGGAUUAGAUACCCUGGUAGUCCUAGCCCUAAACGAUCAGGACUUGGGGUGCCACCCGUUCGGGUGGCGUCCCGGAGCUAACGCGUUAAGUCCUGCACCUGGGGAGUACGGUCGCAAGACUGAAACUCAAAGGAAUUGACGGGGGCC